rnacentral:rRNA from 1 species
GACGAACGCUGGCGGCGUGCUUAACACAUGCAAGUCGAACGGAAAGGCCCUGCUUUUGUGGGGUGCUCGAGUGGCGAACGGGUGAGUAACACGUGAGUAACCUGCCCUUGACUUUGGGAUAACUUCAGGAAACUGGGGCUAAUACCGGAUAGGAGCUCCUGCUGCAUGGUGGGGGUUGGAAAGUUUCGGCGGUUGGGGAUGGACUCGCGGCCUAUCAGCUUGUUGGUGGGGUAGUGGCUUACCAAGGCUUUGACGGGUAGCCGGCCUGAGAGGGUGACCGGCCACAUUGGGACUGAGAUACGGCCCAGACUCCUACGGGAGGCAGCAGUGGGGAAUAUUGCACAAUGGGCGGAAGCCUGAUGCAGAAACGCCGCGUGCGGGAUGACGGCCUUCGGGUUGUAAACCGCUUUCGCCUGUGACGAAGCGUGAGUGACGGUAAUGGGUAAAGAAGCACCGGCUAACUACGUG